rnacentral:rRNA from 1 species
GGGUCAGUAGGUUGGUCGUGCCACCGGUACGUACUGGUCUCACUGAUUCCUCCUUCCUGAAGAACCGUAAUGCCAUUAAUUUGGUGUUGCGGGGAAACAGGACUGUUACUUUGAAAAAAUGAGAGUGUUUAAAGCAAGCUAACGCUUGAAUACAAUAGCAUGGAAUAAUGAAAUAGGACGAUCGAUCCUAUUUUGUUGGUUUCUAGGAUUGACGUA